CGACAAGUGUGCCCACAUCGCGGCCCCAUAUCGCACACGGGACUCGCGAACCGUGUGCGGGCGUCGAGUCUGCCGUGGCAACUUGACGGCGCUCGCCCUGAAGCAAACUUUCCGCGCCAGCCCGUGAUGUCUGACGCUUUGGAACAGGAGGAGAUCGCCUGGCAGCGCGCCGACCCCUACGACCGUCCAAAAGGGGGAAAAGAGAAUGGUGGACUCGAUGCAUCGUGCGCCUGCAGCCUGUGGUCGUUGGUGCCACCAAAAGGAGACCUUUUCACGCCGCCUAUGCGAGUGUUUGUGCAGGCCAGUUUGAUCCAUGCAAACACAGUCCCAGUGUGAACGGGCCAACAGACCAAAAUCAACGAUCGACCUAUUCAGUUGUGGCGUCCCGCCGCCUCACAGGAGCGCCACCGUGCGCCGCAAGUGACGCUGUCCGCCGCUCCACAGGGCCCUUGCCCGACGGGCAUUGCAACGGCACGCAAGCGCGAACGAAACACAACUCGAUAGUUCUUUCUUUUUUUUUUGAUGUGGAUGUUUGUGGAGAAAAAGGAUCAGAGUUG
rnacentral:lncRNA from 1 species